UACGGGGGGGCAAGCGUUGUUCGGAAUUACUGGGCGUAAAGGGCUCGUAGGCGGCCAACUAAGUCAGACGUGAAAUCCCUCGGCUUAACCGGGGAACUGCGUCUGAUACUGGAUGGCUUGAGUUUGGGAGAGGGAUGCGGAAUUCCAGGUGUAGCGGUGAAAUGCGUAGAUAUCUGGAGGAACACCGGUGGCGAAGGCGGCAUCCUGGACCAACACUGACGCUGAGGAGCGAAAGCCAGGGGGAGCAAACGGGGAUUAAGAAACCCGGGU
rnacentral:rRNA from 1 species